AAUGGCGAAUGAACAGGAAUUGGUUCAUCGUGAAACAUAGAGCAUCUAGUUCUACUUUGCAGUCGCAAGAUGUACUAGCAACGGUGGUGCAUGUGUAAGCCUUUUGGAAAAGAGUAUUCGCACGGGUUAGAAUCCCAUGUCCCUCAUGCAAUACCCCGGUGCCUGGUAUACAUUCUCCGAGUCGCGCUUCUUGGGCAUGGAGCGCCAAUUGGGUGGUAGGUUUCACCUAAAGCUUCACACCAGUCUGAGACCGAUAGCAAACAAGUACUAUGAAGGGAAGGUGAACAAGGACUUUGGAAAGAAAGUUAAAUGUGCUUGAACUCGCUGAAAGGAAAGUGGGUGCAAUUUGUGUGACUGAACGAGAUUGUUGUGUGCANNNNNNNNNNNNNNNNNNNNNNNNNNNUCUAACGCACAUGCAAGUUCACAGGUGUGGGAACCUGUGUGCACAACGAAAGUAUCUGUUUGGAUAUUUGCACCAGCAACUGACCAAACGAUGGAGCGAGGUUUGAGUGUGAGCAUGUUUGCUAGGUCCCGAAAGAUGGUGAACUAUACUUGUGCAGGGCAACUCCAGAGGAAACUCUGGUGGAGGUCCGCAGCGAUACUGACGUGCAAAUCGUUCGUCGCACAUGGGUAUAGGGGCGAAAGACUAAUCGAACCAUCUAGUAGCUGGUCCCUUCCGAAGUUUCCCUCAGGAUAGCUGGAGUUGAGCAGUUUCACCAGGUAAAGCAAUGGUUGGAGGAUUCAGGGGCGCGCUGCCCUUGACCUACUCUCAAACUUUAAAUGGGUAAGUACCAGUGGCUACUUGGGUGAGCUUCUGGGUUACAUGGCAACUUUAAGUGGGCCAAUUUUGGUAAGCAGAACUGGUGAUGAGGGAUGAACCUAACGUUUGGUUAAGGUGCUUAAUUUCUCGCUCAUCAGAUACCAUAAAGGGUGUUGGUUCAUUUUCACAGCAGGACAGUGGUCAUGGAAGUCGAAAUCUGCUAAGGAGUGUGUAACAACUCACCUGC
rnacentral:rRNA from 1 species